rnacentral:rRNA from 1 species
AUUGAACGCUGGCGGCAUGCUUUACACAUGCAAGUCGGACGGCAGCACAGAGAAGCUUGCUUCUUGGGUGGCGAGUGGCGAACGGGUGAGUAAUAUAUCGGAACGUACCGAGUAAUGGGGGAUAACUAAUCGAAAGAUUAGCUAAUACCGCAUAUUCUCUGAGGAGGAAAGCAGGGGACCUUCGGGCCUUGCGUUAUUCGAGCGGCCGAUAUCUGAUUAGCUAGUUGGUGGGGUAAAGGCCUACCAAGGCGACGAUCAGUAGCGGGUCUGAGAGGAUGAUCCGCCACACUGGGACUGAGACACGGCCCAGACUCCUACGGGAGGCAGCAGUGGGGAAUUUUGGACAAUGGGCGCAGGCCUGAUCCAGCCAUGCCGCGUGUCUGAAGAAGGCCUUCGGGUUGUAAAGGACUUUUGUCAGGGAAGAAAAGGCUGUUGCUAAUAUCGACAGCUGAUGACGGUACCUGAAGAAUAAGCACCGGCGAACUACGU